GCAUCUCGAGUUUAGGGAACAAUGUUUUUAGACACCUAAGAUGGGAGUUAAGACCACUGUGACUACUAUGCUUUUGACUAUUGGGGCAAAGGAACCAUGGUGACAGUAACCGCUGCUUCCCAAACUGCCCCUUCUCUUUUCCCCCUUAUUCCAUCAUCGGACUACACUGGAGACAUCGUCACCAUUGCGUGCUUGGCCAAGGAUUUCCUACCUGACUCACUCACUCUCUCUUGGCAAAAGCCAAACAAUGACAGCCUUGAGGCAGAAAAAAUCAGGCGAUUCCCUUCUAUUGCUAACUCUAAUGGGGUCUACACCGCAAGCUCAGAGGCGACCAUCCCUGCUAAUCAGUGGGAGGCAUUUGAACCCUUCUUCUGCAAGGCCGAACUUGCUUCUCAGACCAGGGUGACGCGAGUCGUUCCUUCAAUCUCAUGUGAGGAACUUGAACCUACGAUUACUAUCGGCGUGCCUCCUCUAGAAGAUUUUCGAAGUGCGUACCUCAAUGCCACUCUUCUCUGCAAGGCUGAUAACCUGCACACUGAGAAGACUACCAUUAAGUGGCUGAAGAACGGACAGGUGCUUCCCUCUGGAUUCACCACCUAUGCACCAGUCAGAGGAGGCCGUGGCAGUUACUCCAUCAACAGCGAGCUCAUCGUCACCAGAAAGGACUGGUACGCUGAAGAGGUAUUUUCCUGCCAAGUGCAAAAUGACAAGUUCAAUCUGAUCAAGAAUGUCAGCAAAUCUUCUGUUUGUGAAGGUUGUGAAGGUAGUACUGUGCCAGUUCGUGUGGAGACCAUCCCACCAGCCUUCGCUGAUAUGUUCCUGACCAAGACAGCUUACGUGACCUGCAGAAUCUCCAACUUACCCUAUGGGCAGGAUCUUGCAAAACUGAAUGUCACCUGGACACGAGAACACAGCAACGGACGAGUGGAAAUAUUGCCAACCGAAACAGGGCAGCCUAAAGAGCAAGAAAACAGAGAGCUGGUAUAUGUGGAUACCACAGCCAACAUUUGCGUAGAGGACUGGGAGAGUGGUGAUAACUUCCAGUGCACGGUUAGACUUCCCCUACUUGCAAGUACAGAAAUAAGGAAUUUGAAGAAGCAGAAAGGUGAUAGCCACAAUCCCCCAUCUGUCUAUGUCCUUCCUCCUCCCUCGGAACAGUUGGCUUUGCAGGAAACAGCCACCGUCACUUGCCUGAUAAGAAAUUACUACCCCAACGACUUCUUUGUACAAUGGAUGCGGAACGAUGAAGCCGUACCAGCCUCAGAUUACUACGUCGGAAAACCCAUAGAGGAAUCCAAGAGCCCCCAGCGGUUCUUCACCUAUAGCACCAUGAAUGUCAAUCAGCAGGAUUGGAAUUAUGGAGCCAGAUACACUUGUGUGGUGGGACACGAGGCGCUUCCCCUCAACACAAUCCAGAAGACGAUAGACAAGAACACGGCUUACCUUGAUGGGAUUGUAGCCAUCGAUGACGAUGAGGGACUGCUAAACAUCUCAUCCAUCCUUUCCACUUUCAUCAUCCUUUUCCUCGUGAGCCUUUUCUACGGUGCCACCGUGACUGUCAUUAAGGUAAAACGAAUAGGAUGAGAAGGAACUUACUAGGACAUAGCUUUACAAACU